CAACACACAGGGGCUUUGAUGAAAAUGCCCAUGAUAUAAAAUGGCCGGAGGCUAGGGUUUUGCGGUGAAAUCACCGCCAAACUCCACACAAGCGGCACUAUAAAAAUGCCGUCUAGUUCCCUUUUCGUGGAUCUGAGCUGCUUGUCUCUUGCUCGUGCAAGCUAAAACCCAGGUAUACUUGUAUUUUUAGCUGAUUAGUACUCUUGUUUUAGUGAUGGGAACAUGUGAUUAUGAUUUUAAGUUUUGAUAAUGCUGUUUUUUAUAUGAAUUAUAUAUGUCUCUACUGAUGAUGUAUAGCUUAAAACUUUCGUUCUUCUGAGAAAUUACCCAUGUGGAAUUCAUAUGGAGACCUGAACUGAAGAGACAUCUUGUGAUUUUUUUUCCCUCUUGGCUUACCAGUAAUUGGGUUUUUGAGUGGUCUGAUUAUCAUCAUAUAAAAUGUUUAAAACGAUUGUCAAAUGAUUUUUGUGUGGCCUCUGAGGAUGAUGAGUAGAAUACUUUCGUUCUUCUGAGAUGUUCCAUGCGGAAACCUUUUGGAGACCUGAACUGAAGAGGCUUGAUUCUGAUUUCUAUGUUGAAAAUCUGGACUAUUUGACCUUUCUUUUUAGUACAUUUCUAGCUUAUAUUCUAUAUUUUUAUUACAUUUUUAGUGCAUUUUUUUACUUGAGAAUGGAACCUUGUUGAAGAUUUGUUGCGGGUUUGGCAAUGUGGCAAUUGAAGAUAUUGCCUGUGUUUUUAGGAUCGUGUUUUGAAGUAAGACCAACUUUUAAGCCUCCAUAGUGUUUGUGUGAUCAGUUUUAUAUUUCUUAAUCCAUUAUAUCUCCUCCUUUGUUUGACUAUUGAGGACUUGAAUUCACUGAUUUGUAUUGCAUGUUUUCAUCUAAGAAAUUUCAAUAUAAGAUGUAAAAUUAUCUAUUUCGGUCUUGAGUUUCUAGUCAUUUUUAUUUAUUGUUGUUUUAGACAUCUAAGAUCUUCUUUUUCCCCCUCUCUAAUGAUGUGGUUUUUAAAACUUUCGUUCUCCUGAGCUUAAUAAUGCUGAAAAAUUGUGGAGACCUGAGCUGAAGAGUUUUAAAGAAGAUCUUCAAUAUCUGAUCUGGUUAGUCGUUAUUUUUAUUUUGCAAUGAUUAGUAUCUUGUGAAAUAUGAAAAAAAAUAUGCCAACCAAAAGCCAGAAUGUAAAACUCCUUUGCCUUUUCAUACUGGUGACUUAUGAUUCUUUGUUGUGUUCAUUUUAUUUGACAUAAUUUUCUCCUUUUUCUUUUCAAGUGAAACCCUGGUUCCUAUAGAUUGAUGAUUCAUUUGCCCUGCUUGAUGCACAUGUGAUUUUAAUUGUAAAUUUGUUUCUCUCUAAUUAAUUAUUGCUAUUCUUUUGUAUAGUGCUGGGGAUAUUUGUUGAAGACAACUUAAAAAGAACCAAGUCCUUUCAAGAUGAGGUACUGAUUGAUAGUUGAGCUGUUUUAUUCUACCUCUUAGUUUCAGGUUUUUCUGUUUAAGGAUUAAUAGUUGAGCUGUUUAUUUACCUACUUGCUAACUAUCAUUUGUUCUGUUUUCUGUUCCUACCUUUUUUUUUCUCUUUUAGCCGGCCAAUGGAGGAAGAGGUAUGAUAUUUUCCGUCUCUGAACUUCUGUAUACUGCUCUUAUUUGUUCUAAUUUUUUUCAUUGUUUUUUUUUAUUUAAUGCAGCUAUAAUGGCUAGGUUUUCUGAAUCACAUGUUUAGAUUUUUCAAGAAAUUAUUUGCUUGUCAAAUUUUUUAUGUGAUAGUUGUGAAUGAUUCUCAUUUUAUGACAUUUUUUUUUUUUUACUAUUUGUGUUAGAUCCUUUCCUAGUUCUUAGUUUAUGCUGUUGCGGUGCUUUUCUUUGCUGUGAUAAUCUGGGAACUUAAAGCAGCUUGUUUUUUUGUUAUUCACAACAGUCUCUCUCUCUCUCUCUCUCU
rnacentral:misc_RNA from 1 species